UACGGGGGGGGCAAGCGUUGUUCGGAAUUACUGGGCGUAAAGGGCUCGUAGGUGGCCAACUAAGUCAGACGUGAAAUCCCUCGGCUUAACCGGGGAACUGCGUCUGAUACUGGAUGGCUUGAGUUCGGGAGAGGGAUGCGGAAUUCCAGGUGUAGCGGUGAAAUGCGUAGAUAUCAGGAAGAACACCAAUGGCGAAGGCAGCUCUCUGGGACGGUACUGACGCUGAGACGCGAAAGCGUGGGGAGCGAACAGG
rnacentral:rRNA from 1 species